rnacentral:rRNA from 1 species
AAUCAACGCUGGCGGCGUGCCUAACACAUGCAAGUCGAACGCGAAAGUUCCUUCGGGGAUGAGUAGAGUGGCGUCCGGGUGAGUAACGCGUGGGUAAUCUGCCUUUGGGUGGGGGAGUAACUACAGGGAAACGUUAGGGCGUAAUAACCGCCAUAAUAGCAGCGGCUCGACAUCGAGACAGUUGUUAAAGACAGCAAUGCGCCUGAAGAGGA